AUUGAACGCUGGCGGCAGGCCUAACACAUGCAAGUCGAGCGGAUGAAGGGAGCUUGCUCCUGGAUUCAGCGGCGGACGGGUGAGUAAUGCCUAGGAAUCUGCCUGGUAGUGGGGGAUAACGUCCGGAAACGGGCGCUAAUACCGCAUACGUCCUGAGGGAGAAAGUGGGGGAUCUUCGGACCUCACGCUAUCAGAUGAGCCUAGGCCGGAUUAGCUAGUUGGUGGGGUAAAGGCCUACCAAGGCGACGAUCCGUAACUGGUCUGAGAGGAUGAUCGGUCACACUGGAACUGAGACACGGUCCAGACUCCUACGGGAGGCAGCAGUGGGGAAUAUUGGACAAUGGGCGAAAGCCUGAUCCAGCCAUGCCGCGUGUGUGAAGAAGGUCUUCGGAUUGUAAAGCACUUUAAGUUGGGAGGAAGGGCAGUAAGUUAAUACCUUGCUGUUUUGACGUUACCAACAGAAUAAGCACCGGCUAACUUCGUG
rnacentral:rRNA from 1 species